UGGCUCAGUUGGUAGAGCAUGGCGCUAGUAAUGCCAGGGUUGUGGGUUCCAUUCCCAC
rnacentral:tRNA from 1 species